rnacentral:rRNA from 1 species
CACGUAGUUAGCCGGGGCUUCUUGGUCAGGUACCGUCCGGCUGCCCCUUCCGGGGCAGUUUGUCUUCCCUGCUGAUAGAGCUUUACGCGCCGAAACGCUCCUUCACUCACGCGGCGUCGCUGCAUCAGGGUUUCCCCCAUUGUGCAAUAUCCCCCACUGCUGCCUCCCGUAGAAGUUUGGGCCGUGUCUCAGUCCCAAUGUGGCCGUCCACCCUCUCAGGCCGGCUACUGAUCGUCGCUUUGGUAGGCCGUUACCCUGCCAACUGGCUAAUCAGACGCGGGCCCAUCCCGUACCGCCCUCGCGGGCUUCCCGCACAUAGGCAUGCGCCUUUGUGCGCUCAUGCGGUAUUAGCACCUAUUUCUAAGUGUUAUCCCCCUGUACAGGGGCAGGUUGCCCACGCGUUACUCCACCCGUCCGCCACUAGGACGCCGCUUUUCCAUUCUUAGCAAGCUAAUCAUUUCAUCGCCGCCGCCCCGUCGACUUGCAUGUGUUAAGCACGCCGCCGAGUCGUCA